GGUGCUCCGGGGCUGUCCACAGAUCUGGGCAUUCAGCAUAAAGAUUGUAAAGUUAAGUAGGUGACCAGCAGCACAGGUAAAAUGGAAUUGCAGCCAAAGUCAGUGAUCUUCACCACCAUUCUGCUGUCCACCAC